ACAAAUGGAUCAGAGAUACAUCACGAAUACGGAAUAAAGCAAAUUAGGAGGUAAAUCUGCAAAGACUGGGUAUUUAAGGAAGGGAUUGUCUGAAUUUCACAUCCGGUUAAAGGCAAACCUGAAACAUCAUUACAAUGUGCCAAAUCACGCUAUUACAAUUACUGACUAUAUUAGCUAUUUGCUGUUGGACACAAGGAACAAGUGUUCCAUCCGGUAAAGUAGCCAACGCAUCAAAUACAACAAAGCCAGCAACCACAAAAUCUACAGCACCUACAUCAGCAACCUCCAAACCAAACACUGAAGCGCCAGGAGCAAACAGUGGUGUCACACAAUCUACAGCACCUGCAUCAGCAACCUCCAAAUCAAGCACUGCAGUGCCAGGAGCAAACAGUGGUGUCACACAAUCUACACCUAAAGGAAACGAUGCUAGUAGAACGACGGGUGAAAUAGCGGUCAGUCUGAUUGCUGGACUGGUUUUUACAAGGGCCGUAAUGUUUUCCUGAUUAUGAACAGUAAUUAAUCUGUGAUCAAAGACUGAGAGGUGAUGACAGGUACUGUUAAAAUAAAUAUUAUUGAAUGAUUGUUAAA